rnacentral:rRNA from 1 species
AGAGUUUGAUCCUGGCUCAGAUUGAACGCUGGCGGCAGGCUUAACACAUGCAAGUCGAACGGUAACAGAACUAGCUUGCUAGUUGCUGACGAGUGGCGGACGGGUGAGUAACGCGUAGGAAUCUACCGAAUAGUGGGGGACAACAGUUGGAAACGGCUGCUAAUACCGCAUACGCCCUACGGGGGAAAGGAGGGGAUCUUCGGACCUUUCGCUAUUUGAUGAGCCUGCGUGAGAUUAGUUAGUUGGUGGGGUAAUGGCUCACCAAGGCGACGAUCUCUAGCUGGUCUGAGAGGAUGAUCAGCCACACUGGGACUGAGACACGGCCCAGACUCCUACGGGAGNCAGCAGUGGGGAAUAUUGCACAAUGGGGGAAACCCUGAUGCAGCCAUGCCGCGUGUGUGAAGAAGGCCUUCGGGUUGUAAAGCACUUUCAGUUGUGAGGAAAGGUUAAGGGUUAAUA